ACCACCACCGGCGAACCAGUACGAGCGGAAACGACGCUCGCGGCGCGCGGCCCGGGGGACGACCCGGGGACGCGCGUCCCGGCGAGCUCCGAACAACCCUCUGGGCGCGGCGAGCGCCAAGGAAUCGAAGCGGAAGGGGCGGCCGCCCCGCCCGGUGCGGGCACGCCCCGAAAGGGGGAUGCGGCACCGCGGUGGGGGAUCCGCCGCCCGUCUGUGAAGUCUCUUAGACGACUCUCGGCAACGGAUAUCUCGGCUCUCGCAUCGAUGAAGAACGUAGCGAAAUGCUAUACUUGGUGUGAAUUGCAGAAUCCCGUGAACCAUCGAGUCUUUGAACGCAAGUUGCGCCCGAGGCGAGGCCACUCGGCCGAGGGCACGCCUGCCUGGGCGUCACGCCACCCGUCGCCCCCCGCCCGCGGCAUUCCCAUGCCCGGCCGGGGAGCGGAGACUGGCCGUCCGUGCCCGAGGGAUCGGCGCGCGGUCGGCAGAAAAGGAAGGCACCGUGCGGCGCGACACGGCGUGUGGGGGUUGAGAGGCGAUCCGUCGCCGAUCGUACGUCGCGCCCGCAUUCCGCCGCGCGGUGCGGCCCGUGGGACCAGACUUCGCCCGCAGCCGCGGGCGCUCGGACCGCGACCCCAGG
rnacentral:rRNA from 1 species